rnacentral:rRNA from 1 species
CCUACGGGAGGCAGCAGUCGAGAAUCAUUCACAAUGGGGGAAACCCUGAUGGUGCGACGCCGCGUGGGGGAAUGCAGGUCUUCGGAUUGUAAACCCCUGUCAUGUGGGAGCAAAUUAAAAAGAUAGUACCACAAGAGGAAGAGACGGCUAACUCUGUGCCAGCAGCCGCGGUAAUACAGAGGUCUCAAGCGUUGUUCGGAAUCACUGGGCGUAAAGCGUGCGUAGGCUGUUUCGUAAGUCGUGUGUGAAAGGCGCGGGCUCAACCCGCGGACGGCACAUGAUACUGCGAGACUAGAGUAGUGGAGGGGGAACCGGAAUUCUCGGUGUAGCAGUGAAAUGCGUAGAUAUCGAGAGGAACACUCGUGGCGAAGGCAGGUUCCUGGACAUUAACUGACGCUGAGGCACGAAGGCCAGGGGAGCGAAAGGGAUUAGAUACCCCAGUAGUC